rnacentral:sRNA from 1 species
AUUCAACCGCACUGAAAAGGUUUUAAGUGAUUAUUUCCACCUUUAAGGCGAGUCUUAUUUAAUA